UACGGCCGUAUCACAUUCAAACAUCGAUUCUCGUACGAUCACUAAAGUUAAGCAACGUCGAGCCUGGUCUGUACUUAGAUGAGGGAGCGCUUGGAAUACCAGUUGC